CACUCUAUUUCCAGUGGUAGGUACAUGGUUGCCGAGGGAGGACCGCGGCAAGGGCAUUGCGCCCGACCAGUAAGACCGUGGUAGUAUAGUAGCUUUCCUUUUUGCAUUAGUUCACCUAUGUAUUGAGAGAGAUUCAUUGUGGGUGAGGGUUUGGGUGAGCUAUGUAUUUUGAAAUGGAAAAUGUAUUCAUUUAAAGAAAAUGAUGUAAAUGAAAAUGAUGGAACUAUUGUAAUAGUUAGUAAAGUACUCUCUUUAUUUCACAUGUGUAUCUUGUGGAUUUGCUUGCUCUUUGUAUUGUUGGCACUGGUUGUGCCCUUGUGGAUGUGUAUGUUUAGAAUUUAAUUUUCCUAGGUAAAUUCUUGUACACAUUCCUAUUGUUGAGCCUUGGGCGGAUAGGGGAGGUGCUGUCCGUUCGGCGGCCCGCCGCCGCGGCCGAACCGUGCCAAAUUGGUAGUAGUUUCGGGGCGGGGCGUGACACUGUGAUUCGUGGAUAGUCCACCUACGGAUGUAGCAAGAGAUCCCCAAGGCAACCUACAUUUUGGGGGGCCACCCUCGAGAGUGGUGUCAUGGUAGUAGAUAAGUGCAGGCUUGAUCGGACCCUCGAGUCGGUCUUUGGGAUUGGGUUUGGAUAAUGAGCACCUAUUAGCUAGUUGAUGUAUACUUAUAAAUCUAGCUGAUUUAUUCUGAUCAUUAGUGGUAUAUAGGCAUUGUAGCUGUAGAUUUUCUUUCCAAUUUUUAGUAUUUCAUGCUCUACUAUUAGUUAUAGUUCAUUACUUUUUGCCUCUAGUAGGCCUAGUGUGUAGGUCGUCAUCAUUGUUGACAAUAUCAACUGACUAGUUUUAGUAGUUCUCAUGCCCUCUAUUGUUUUCUUCCAAAGCCCUCCACCCCUG
rnacentral:lncRNA from 1 species